UACGGAGGGGGCGAGCGUUAUUCGGAAUUAUUGGGCGUAAAGGGCGCGUAGGCGGCUGGUUAAGUCAAAGGUGAAAUCCCUCGGCUCAACUGAGGAACUGCCUUUGAAACUAGCGAGCUUGAGGCCGGGAGGGGGUAGCGGAAUUCCCAGUGUAGCGGUGAAAUGCGUAGAUAUUGGGAGGAACACCAGUGGCGAAGGCGGCUACCUGGACCGGUUCUGACGCUGAGGCGCGAAAGCGUGGGUACGGCAAACAGG
rnacentral:rRNA from 1 species